UACGUAGGUGACCAGCGUUGUCCGGAUUUACUGGGCGUAAAGAGCGCGCAGGCGGUCGUUCAAGUCGAGUGUGAAAGCCCCCGGCUCAACUGGGGAGGGUCAUUCGAUACUGAUCGACUUGAAGGCAGGAGAGGGAAGUGGAAUUCCCGGUGUAGUGGUGAAAUGCGUAGAUAUCGGGAGGAACACCAGUGGCGAAGGCGACUUCCUGGCCUGACCUUGACGCUGAGGCGCGAAAGCUAGGGGAGCAAACGGG
rnacentral:rRNA from 1 species